CUUGGUCAUUUAGAGGAGUAAAAGUCGUAACAAGGUCUCCGUAGGUGAACCUGCGGAGGGAUCAUUAUUGAAUGGUCUUUGACCUUCUACCCCUCAAACCUGUGGAAGCUAAAAAUGUGCUUCGGCGUCCUCCCGGGGGCGCCGCUUUUAUGCAUAAAUCCGUGUGUCGUCUGAAUCAUACACAAGAAUCAAAACUUUCAACAAAGGAUCUCUUGGCUCUCGCAUCGAUGAAGAACGCAGCGAAGCGCGAAAUGUAGUGUGAAUCGCAGAACAUUGUGAAUCAUCGAAUCUUUGAACGCACAUUGCGCCUCUCUUAACAGGGAGGCAUGCCUGUCUGAGUCUCAUUUAAUCUAUAAACCCGAUUGGGUUUGUGCCUGGGCGUUCGCUUGACCGGCGUCGCCUCAAAGUCAUCUGUCUUAUGAGCGGACGAGAUCCUUUCGGACUGACCGUUUGUGGGACCCUAAAUCUAUGAUUUGAGCUCAGAUCAGGUAGGACUACCGCCUGAACUUAAGCAUAUCAAUAAGCGGAGAAA
rnacentral:rRNA from 1 species